rnacentral:rRNA from 1 species
GAUGAACGCUGGCGGCGUGCCUAAUACAUGCAAGUCGAGCGAACGGACGAGAAGCUUGCUUCUCUGAUGUUAGCGGCGGACGGGUGAGUAACACGUGGAUAACCUACCUAUAAGACUGGGAUAACUUCGGGAAACCGGAGCUAAUACCGGAUAAUAUUUUGAACCGCAUGGUUCAAAAGUGAAAGACGGUCUUGCUGUCACUUAUAGAUGGAUCCGCGCUGCAUUAGCUAGUUGGUAAGGUAACGGCAUACCAAGGCAACGAUGCAUAGCCGACCUGAGAGGGUGAUCGGCCACACUGGAACUGGAACACGGUCCAGACUCCUACGGGAGGCAGCAGUAGGGAAUCUUCCGCAAUGGGCGAAAGCCUGACGGAGCAACGCCGCGUGAGUGAUGAAGAUCUUCGGAUCGUAAAACUCUGUUAUUAGGGAAGAACAUAUGUGUAAGUAACUGUGCACAGCUUGACGGUACCUAAUCAGAAAGCCACGGCUAACUACGUG